UAACUACUCCCUGUGUCCUAAAAUUCUUGUCUUAAGUUUGUCUAGAAAUGGAUGUAUCUAAAUACUAAAACGUGACUAGAUACAUUCAUAUUUAGACAAAUCUAAGACAAGAAUUUUGGAACGGUGGAAGUACUAU
rnacentral:pre_miRNA from 1 species